AACAGUUCUUUGCUCACGACGCGCGCGCGCACACACACACACACACACACACACACACACACACACACUCUCAUGAAUUUAUUUAUCUCAGUGUUUAUUAUUUUGAGUAUCUAUAAGUUUACAGUGUAGAGUUUGGGAGCAGAACCUGAGAUCACCUGAGAUCACCUGAGCCUCUGAGUUGUCAUGAGUGUGUGAACGAGUGCUGAGGAAUUCCAGCCUUCUCCUUCCACAAGUCCCGACGAGUGUUUUGCAGUACAGGACAAAAAUGCUUAACCACGAACCAAACAACGGCACUCCGCUUACCGAAACGACCAAAUCGGAAGAUGUGGAACACGGCCCUUGUGAUCACCGCCUCAAGGUGAAAGACCACAGGAAGCUGGCCAUCUGUAGCAUCCUAUGUGGCCUGUCCUGCCUCGGCAUCGUCUCGCUUAUUUACUCUAUUAAGGUAAAACACACACACACACACACACACAAACAUCUUUACGCUACUGUUCUGGAUUAUGCUCCUGUGCAAUACAAUACGAUUCAAUUCACCCGAUUUGAUCCAGUGAAAAAAUAUGAUGCUCUGCAAUUCAAUAUGGUACCAACCAGAACCGAACCAGAACAGUUUGAUUUUAUUUCUUUGGUUCAGACAAACUGAAAGUCAUCAAUUUACUUAAGCACCUUCUGACUUCUAGCGCGUGGCCCCUUCACACACAGGCCCAAAAAAAUAAAUAAAAUAAUGAAAUUCACAGCUCUACCUCUGCCAUGUUAAUCUGUAUUGUAUGUGACUCUCAGGACACGUCGUAUUCACGUAGCAGCAGCGGUGCUGAGAGAACGCGGCGGGAAAACGAUCUACAUAUAAAAUAUCGGUCACUUUCUUGAGAAAUGUUUUGACUGCUGUAACUAUGGUAAAACUAUACGUCGCAAUACAAACGCCUGCUUUCAUUCGAUGCACUUUUUUAAAAUCAAUGCAAAAAAGCUAAACCACCAAUAUUUUCAUGCUCAGUAUUUAUUAUAUGGGAAACGUAUUUACACCAACACACAUCUACUGUACUGCUCAGUGCUGCACCGUCACCGUGUUUACCGUCUCGUUCUCUUGCGUUUUUUUUUACAUUUUGUUGUUUUCUACCCCGGAAACAACUUGUCCUGGGGCAACGUUGUGUCGAUUCCUCAUGUACUGUAUCUAAUGUUUUUGGCUGAAAUGACAGUAAAACUCACUCGACUUGACAUGUUGGAAAUGCGUCUGCAAAAUGCAGUAAAUGUAAACGUAGUUCAUUUGUUCUUCCGAAGUAAGCAUUUUUUUUUACUUCCAAACCAAUCAGAUUGCAGCUCAGGGGGGCAUUUGAGAGAAAAACUCAGCAAAUCUUAUCUUUAUCUUAAAUAAAAUAUCUUUAUCUGGUUUUACUUCUUAUCUAAUUUGUUUUAUAAUUUUUAUUUUUUUUAGCAAAUUUGAGCACUUGUUUUUAAAAGCAAAUUAUAUAAUUCUAUACUAUAUAUACACACUAUAUAACAAUUCAGGAAAACGCUCCAAACACACUUGUACAGUGGGAGCUUAAUGGUCAAGUUACUGGUCCGAGUUACUGAUUGGAAGGUCAAACUGCCCCUGAGAAAUCAGAAAGAAUUUCACUAUGCUGUAAUGUUCAUGUAACUUUAACUUUAUUACAGUAAAGAAACACAGUAAACUCUAAAAAGUUCUUACCUCCAAUGUCUUCUUUCUCCUUCUCAGACUCGGAAUGCAACAAGAGGAGUCUUGGUGCAACAUCAACAAAAGCCAAAGAAUAUUCUCAAAAGGCUCUAAAAUGGGGAAUAGGAGCCAUCGUCGCAUGGUGGCUUCUCAUUUUUCUCACCCCACCGCUAGUGGGACUGCUGUCGUACUUGUUAACAUUGUACGACUGAAACACAAAAGGACAAAGUGACAUCUGAGCCCCCAAAAAAUGACUCAUGGACCUUAAAAAAAAACAUGAAGCUCCAAAGACACAGAGACACCAAAACUCUCCAAUCAGCGGAAACAGAGACCUGAGAAUGUUUGAUGCUGCUUGAACCUUAAUAAAACAAACAAAAAAAAAGGACCAAAGUGGAUAAAACCUGUCAAGCACUUGGACCACAAAGUCGGGCCCUUGAGCAAGGACCCUAUCCCUCACCUGUUCAGAUGUAUUGAUUAUGUAUUAACUGUACGGCUCUGGACUCUGGAAAAAGUCAUAAAUGUAACUGAUUGCACCAAACUUUGAAAAUCAGAAGAAACCACAUUCUUUACACAUCCUCAAACAUGCAACCACUCGCAUGACCAUUACAAGCACUUUUAGAACAAUCUGAUGGAUGGACGAUGGAUACGCUGACAACGUAAAAUCAUUAUGCCUCUACCACCUAGUGGUCGACCAAGAACGCUGAAGAUCGCCGAUCAUCUCCAAGAACUCAAAACAAGCAAGACACAGAGAUCUGGCAUUUCAAAAAGAAUGAAUAACACAGUGUGGAAAUCCACUGAAAUGAUGCAUAGAUGAUCCACAACUACGAACAGAAACGUCGAAAGACAACAUGAAGUGCAUUAGAAAUAAAACUUGUCCAAAACACCGUGAAGUCACGGAGACCUCGAAAAUAAUCAUUAAAAUAACCUAUAAGCUGUUCCUCAGAGACGUCUUCAGGAACCUUUGGACAUGAGAAGCUCAUCACAUUAUUAACAAUGAAAUGGUUCGAUAUUUACUAAUUCUUUUUUUUUUUUUUACACGUUUUAAGCAUUACAGGAAGUGUGUGUAUUCAAAUGCACAAACAAAUGUUUUUUGGUAACUAUUGCUUUUUUUUGAGUGUGUGUGCUCAUCUGUUACAAUAGACAUUCAGACAGGUUCAUUAAAGCUCGUCUUCGUACUUCCUGUACGAUGCGGUUUGUCACGUAGAGGUCGACCGAUUUUUACCAAUAGUAAGGUUGGAUCGUACUUGCCGAUAACCGAUUAAUUAUAGCUGUAACAUUAUUAAAAUAAAAAUUUAACGUAAUUUCAAUGCUCUGGCCUCUGUUUAGACAUUUAAAGAGAUCAAUUUCAAGCACGACAGUUUAAAUUUAAAUGAAAUGGUAACGAUUUCAGCGAUGUUACAUUUGUAACUAACUGAAGUUAAAUGAUUUAAGUUAUAUUUAUUGUUUGUAAAAUAUUUACUAAUACAUUUUAAAUUAAUUUUUAUUUUAUAUAAUGCACUUUGAACUAACAUGAAUUAGGUACAACACGUGGUGUCAGUGAUUCGCCUCUAGUGGCCGCUCUCACACUGGUUAAUAACAGGACCUUCUCAGACGCAACCAGGAAAAACUACCGGUGUGGAUUUUUGCAGAAUGUCUGUGCCAAUUUAUUGGCAAAAACUUUGAAUCAGUCGACCUCUUUUUUUUUUUUUUGUAUUAGGUAUUAGGUUAACCUCCUCCAACAACAAGCACAGGAUUGUGUUACGUUUGUGUUACGCCACUGUAUUAUCACAGCUACUGUUGUACAUUUUCUUUUCUUUUUUUUUUUUAUACAUUUAUAUCCUGAACAUUAAAAAACUUUUCAACUGUUUACAAGCAAAUGUUUGAUUUAAUAAGUAUAAACAUAAAAAAAAAAAAAAAAGUAUUACACGGAAAAAAGUAAGAAAGAAAACAAAAAAACAACACCUUUACCUGUUUCUCUAUCAUACAGGACGGAUGCACUGAUACAUGAGUUAUAGUUUUGUAUUUAUUAUUUAACAUAAAAAAAAAGAAAAGAAAUAAACGACUGCAAAAUGGA